rnacentral:siRNA from 1 species
AUGAUUGCCACACAAGGUAUCUUG